rnacentral:rRNA from 1 species
UACGGAGGGUGCGAGCGUUGUCCGGAAUCAUUGGGCGUAAAGGGCGCGUAGGUGGCCCGGUCAGUUCGUGGUGAAAGCGCGGGGCUCAACUCCGCGUCGGCCAUGAAUACUGCGGGGCUCGAGCACUGUAGAGGCAGGCGGAAUUCCGGGUGUAGCGGUGGAAUGCGUAGAGAUCCGGAAGAACACCGGUGGCGAAGGCGGCCUGCUGGGCAGUAGCUGACACUGAGGCGCGACAGCGUGGGGAGCAAACAGG